UAAACUAGUAGUAGUUAUGUUCUUGAAAAUUAAAGAUUUUGGCGGUAUUUUAGUCUUUUCAGAGGAACCUGUUCUAUAAUUGAUAUUCCACGAUUUAUUAUACUUGUUUUAUUAGUUUGUAUAUCGUCGUCAGUUGAAUAUUUUUAAAGAAAUUGAAUAUUCAAAAUUUAUAAUAAUAAAAAAAAUCAGAUCAAGGUGUAGCUUAUAGUCAAGUAGAAAUGGGUUACAAUAAUUUUAUUUACACGAAUUAAAAUUUGAAAAGUUUUAUGAAGGUGGAUUUGAAAGUAAUAAUAUUUAAAUUAAUAUUAUGAUUUAAGCUCUAAAAUAUGCACACAUCGCCCGUC
rnacentral:rRNA from 1 species